UAUAUAUAUAUAUAUAUAUAUAUAUAUAUAUAUAUAUAUAUAGCGGUACCCCUGUAGGGGCUACUAAGUGAUGUGGCCCACCUGUCACCCUGCACGACCCGGCAUUCACUUCCCAGACACUACAAGACAAUGAACAGUCCGUUGUUUUUUUUUGUUUUUGUUAUUUUAUUGGACUGUAUAUGUCGCUCACCAGCCCUCCUGACUCCGACCGGUGGUUCCCUCCUUAAAACUUGCCCGGCAGUACCAGCUCCUGCUGUCAUCUCUGACUCCUCCUGUGCCUUCUGUCCAGAUCCUUCAUGCUUUGAAGGGCCCAGUCCUGCACCUGAGCCCCAGGCCCAAGAUCCCCCCCCCAGACUUGAGAACUCCUUCAAAGGCCUUGACCACCUAGUACCCCAUCUCCAGUUCUUACACACAACAACUCCUUCCCAGCUGGGCUGACCCUGAGUAGUUCAAGGAGGCCUGCCCCCUGCCAAUCCUAGUUGGGGAUUGGUCAGGGAUCCUGAGACACCCCAAACAGCUCCAUCUCUCUUUCCCUCCUCUUCUUCUAUAAUCCUGCAGAAGGCAGAGGGAGGUAACAGUGGAGUGAUGCUGUCUGUAAGUCACAUCUGCUGCUCUGAGCCACUCCAAACCCAUACAGACCAAAACAAACAGGCCUAGCUUCUAGCUAGGCCUGCCUAAAUUUACUCAUACUACAAAAAUCCUCACUUCUAGAACCUACCUAGGUAGAUGGUGCUAUAUAUAUUAUACAUACACACACACACAUAUAUAUAUACAUAUACAUAAGCCAAGUAAGUAAGUAAGCCAAGCAAGCCUGUAGCGAAAGAAAUAUGCCACCAUUGCCAACCUGCUUCUUAAAAUGCUUGUCAUCUUUUUCAGAAGUCCAUGACCCAUGUAUGUCCUUUGCACAGGUUUUCUCUAAAGUGAGCAUUUGGCUAAACCAUAGACAAUAUUUACCUAUUCUAACAUGCAGUAAAUAAGAUUAAGAAAACCCUCACUAACCAUUAUAGCUUCAGGCACUGUGGAUGGAGGAGCAGGGUGAGCUGAGCUGUUGAAAAAAUUAUUUUAAUUAUUUAAGUUCUUAGGCUGUGAAUUAUAAGGAUGAAUUGCUCCACAGUGUAUACAGCUAAAGGUUAUUAAGGUAUUGUAAUAAAGGUUAUUUUCUGCUUGUCAACAAUAUGUAUAUACUUGAAAAUCCAUAGACUGGUUCAAUGUUAACAGUAAGCCAUGUGUAAUAGACACUUCUACAAAACUAGUGAACAUAGAAGAACACAACACAACAACUCUUAUAAAUGAGUAUGGGAAUGCUACACUAAAUCUCCUGUGGGAAGACCAUUUUCAUGUUGUUUUUACCUAACUGCGCAUCAUCUGUCAUUAUUAUACACAAGUCACUACAUAAUGUUUUUUGGCAUUUUGGGUCUCACAAAUCUUUCAAAUUUAAAUGUCAUUAUUACAGCCAUUUACAGAAUUAUAUACUUGUGAAUAUUACCAAUAACAUUAUACAAAUAUAAGAAAAAAUGCACUUUAGUUUGUAGCUUUGUAACCUUGUUUUAUUUUACCGGCUGAUGACUGAAGGCUAAUGCUGUAUGUUAAAUGGAUAUGAUAGGCAAGUGUAAAAAGAUUACUUUGAUUGUGUAAAAGGAUUGUGUUUAUGCACUGAGAAGCAGUUUGAUGUACUGCUCCAUGCUGUAUCCUAUGGAAUGUGCUUGUUAAUAAAGUUUUACAGCUGAUUUUGACUGAA